AGACGUAUGAAAUAUUAAUCAGUUGUGUGUCACUUCUUUCAAAGUCAAGCCGAUGUCAUCCGGUCUACGAAAGGACGCCUAACAAUCUUCAAUUUUUCAACGGGAAAAACUGAUACAUAGAUUUAAAUGGUGGGCACACGGCGAAGGCAGCGGGUGUCUCAAGUUUCUGAAAGUCGGGCAGCCCUUGACAUUGACCGACGUAAAGCGUCGUUAAAGACAUUCCAUCGCGAUCGAUCCGCAACGUAUAUUAAUUUCAUUACAUUUCACAGAAGCGAAAUGUCUACGUCCUGUUUUUGUUUCUAGCAAAUUAAGCAGCGAUUUCGUCAUCGUGAUACGCGGUCUUUUCUUCCACUUCGAUCUCUCGAGCAAGAUGCCGAAUUUUCAGGAUAAGAAUCUUAAGAGAGCGAAAUAGCCGCAUCAAUAAUUUUUCCCCUUAAUUACCUGUAUAACAUCGAUCAUGUUUCUCAAAAUAUUUUAAUAUUAUUACAAAUCGAAGCAACAGUUUUUCAUAACACAGAAGAGGUACUAGACUUAGACCGGCGCGAAUGCAAAGUUCUAUCACCAACGCUAACAUGUACAUAAAGGACAUCGAUUGCACGCUUAUCUAUUCCAUCUACGAAUGAACGCAAACAUUAUUACAUUAUUACAGACUGGUAUCGUGGUUUAGAAAAACAGAUAAAGCUAUAUAAAGCGUCCACUGUCGGUUAUAUAUAAUUAAUAAUCAGAUAAGCGUGCGAUAUCAGGUCCUGACGUAGCAAAUGAUAUGUUAAAGAUCUGUAACGACAUGCAAUAAAUAAAAAUGCAUCGUGCAUACAUGCGAGCAAUAUACAUAUUUAUAUGACAUUAUUUGCCUUUUUGUACACUAAUGUUUAACGAUCGAAGCAAGAUGUAAUAAAAUUUCUUGAAAAAAUCAUCGAACGAUUACACGUGAUUGAAUCGUCAUUAUCAUAUCAUGCGUAUUCAUACCACCGCGAUUUCAGAAAUCUAUAAUAAUAACAUUAUGUUAUAUAAAUUACAUGAAAUUUAAGUAUCCUAAUUCCGCAAAAUUCUUAGCCGUAAAUCUUAUUGCAUUUUUUUCCAAAAAAAA